GUAAACAGGAGGUAAAAUAUUUAAUAUUAAUAAACUAAAACAUUCUGCUUCAGUUGAUCUCACUGAGCUGUCGGUUACAAUAUUUACUUUCAUUACAAAAAGGCAUCACAUUUAGAAAAACUAUGAAAAACACAUAAAAAAUAUAAUCAGAAAUAAUUAGAUAAUUAGUGGUUUCUGUCAUUUUGCCAUCAACAAGUUCUCUGGUGUCAGUUUUUGUUUCAUUUCAGAAUCCAAAUGAUUAAUCUGUUAGAACAUCAUCAGCAGGUUAAUCAACAGAGAAAAUAAUUGUCUCUCAUCAUUAACACAGACACUGUCUCGCCGUCUCACCAUCCACAUUUGAAGACAUAGAAUACAAAUAUAGAAGACACUGUUUGUGGACAGUUUGUUUGUGGUCUUCUGGUCUGAGCUGUUCCACACAUGGAGGUGAGUUUACUAACUCUCUGUUACAUCAUGUCUUUUUAUCUUUAAUGAAUUAGUUCAGUACUAAAUAGUUCAUCAGCAGUUGAGACAAACAGGAAACACAGCGUGUCCACAUAUGUUUGGCCAUGUGGUGUAUCCGUUAGGUGUUGUUCUGACAGAUGAAACGCUCCAUUGGUUCUAAGAAGAACAGCAGCAGCAGCAGCAGGUUCCUCCGUCAGUCGAUGAUGGAGUCUGUGCUGGUCUGUGUGAUACUGCUGACUGUCAGCUGUGAGUCUGUUUACUCAUUUAUUCAUUUAUCUACUUUAUCUAAUUCAUGUGUUUACUUUAUUUGUUAUUUAUGUAAACAUCCAGUUCAGCUCACUCACUGAUUUGUAACUCACCAUAUUUAUUGAUUACCAAUGAAACAGCUGUGCACAGGAUGAAGAGCUGUUUGUUAUUUCAAGGACAAUUUUAGGGUUUUAUUCUGAAAACGCCCUCAAAUUAAAGCUUCCUGUCUGAAGGAUCAAAGAUUCACCAAAUGAUUAUUAAUUAACCGUAAAAGUCACUUCUUAGGUAAAUUGUUUUACAAAUUGUUAUUCAUUUUAUCUGGAGCGACAGUUUGUCAUCCUAUGGCUGUUUGUCUGAUCUGAUCACGUUUAACUGAUUGAUUGAUAAAAACAUUCAUUAUUUCCUGCAGUACAGUUUAAAGAUGCACAUUACUGGAACACUGACAGAAUAUUUGACAGAUGGACCUGUGGCUGAAAAUGUUUGAUCAGUUAACUAACAGUUGAUCAACUAGUAAAGACAGUUUUUAUAAGAGACAUUUAUUGAACAGAUAUAUCAACCGGUCAGCUUCUCAGAUAUGAAUACUGUGUGCUUCCUGUCUCAGUAACUGAAUGUGUGUUUGUCGGGUGUCAGUGACACUCAGCAACAACACAAACACGACCGCUCCUGUUUGUUACAAGUUGAAAAGAUUUUAAACUUUGUUGUCACACAAAAUUAUUAUUUCUCUGACUUUUACAACAAAUGUGUUUAAAUCUGUUAGUGAGCGUGUCGAUUUUCCAGGAUACUCCAUCUACCUGACAGGUGCGACGUAUCACACGACUGAACAGUGUGAUGAAGGGUUGCUGACGAGCCUCACGGUUCCCAGCAGCGGGUCACCAGCCUACCUUCCUCCACGGUGCAGGUGAGACUCGGGGAUGAUGCCACCCUGCAGUGCCCCCUGCUGGACGCCUCCGACACCACGGCGGCCCCCUCCACCCUGAGCUGGUACAGGAAGGCA